rnacentral:siRNA from 1 species
AGGAAGAGCCAACUUAUAAGCCAC